GCGUGGCGGCAUGCCUAACACAUGCAAGUCGAACGAGACCUUCGGGUCUAGUGGCGCACGGGUGCGUAACGCGUGGGAACCUGCCUUUAGGUUCGGAAUAACUCAGAGAAAUUUGAGCUAAUACCGGAUAAUGUCUUCGGACCAAAGAUUUAUCGCCUUUAGAUGGGCCCGCGUUGGAUUAGCUAGUUGGUGGGGUAAAGGCCUACCAAGGCGACGAUCCAUAGCUGGUCUGAGAGGAUGAUCAGCCACACUGGGACUGAGACACGGCCCAGACUCCUACGGGAGGCAGCAGUGGGGAAUAUUGGACAAUGGGCGAAAGCCUGAUCCAGCAAUGCCGCGUGAGUGAUGAAGGCCUUAGGGUUGUAAAGCUCUUUUACCCGAGAUGAUAAUGACAGUAUCGGGAGAAUAAGCUCCGGCUAACUCCGUG
rnacentral:rRNA from 1 species